AUUGAACGCUGGCGGCAGGCCUAACACAUGCAAGUCGAACGAGUGGCGGACGGGUGAGUAAUGUCUGGGAAACUGCCUGAUGGAGGGGGAUAACUACUGGAAACGGUAGCUAAUACCGCAUACCAUCGGAUGUGCCCAGAUGGGAUUAGCUAGUAGGUGGGGUAACGGCUCACCUAGGCGACGAUCCCUAGCUGGUCUGAGAGGAUGACCAGCCACACGGGAACUGAGACCCGGUCCAGACUCCUACGGGAGGCAGCCGUGGUGAAUAUUGCACAAUGGGCGCAAGUCUGAUGAAGCCAUGCCGCGUGUGUGAAGAAGGCCUUCGGGUUGUAAAGUACUUUCAGCGGGGAGGCGUUACUCGCAGAAGAAGCACCGGCUAACUCCGUGCCAGCAGCCGCGGUAAUAC
rnacentral:rRNA from 1 species